rnacentral:siRNA from 1 species
UGGCACGACCCUGUGAGUUAC